rnacentral:rRNA from 1 species
UGGGGAAUUUUGGACAAUGGGCGAAAGCCUGAUCCAGCAAUGCCGCGUGUGUGAAGAAGGCCUUCGGGUUGUAAAGCACUUUUGUCCGGAAAGAAAUCCUUGGCUCUAAUACAGUCGGGGGAUGACGGUACCGGAAGAAUAAGCACCGGCUAACUACGUGCCAGCAGCCGCGGUAAUACGUAGGGUGCAAGCGUUAAUCGGAAUUACUGGGCGUAAAGCGUGCGCAGGCGGUUUGCUAAGACCGAUGUGAAAUCCCCGGGCUCAACCUGGGAACUGCAUUGGUGACUGACAGGCUAGAGUAUGGCAGAGGGGGGUAGAAUUCCACGUGUAGCAGUGAAAUGCGUAGAGAUGUGGAGGAAUACCGAUGGCGAAGGCAGCCCCCUGGGCCAAUACUGACGCUCAUGCACGAAAGCGUGGGGAGCAAACAGGAUUAGAUACCCUGGUAGUCCACGCCCUAAACGAUGUCAACUAGUUGUUGGGGAUUCAUUUCCUUAGUAACGUAGCUAACGCGUGAAGUUGACCGCCUGGGGAGUACGGUCGCAAGAUUAAAACUCAAAGGAAUUGACGGGGUCAUAGCUG